GACAGAGGGUGCAAACGUUGCGCGGAAUCACUGGGCGGAAAGGGCGUGUAGGCGGGAAGGAAAGUCAGAUGUGAAAUCCCUGGGCUCAACCCAGGAACUGCAUUUGAAACUCCCUUUCUUGAGUGUCGGAGAGGAGAGCGGAAUUCCUGGUGUAGAGGUGAAAUUCGUAGAUAUCAGGAGGAACACCGGUGGCGAAGGCGGCUCUCUGGACGAUAACUGACGCUGAGACGCGAAAGCGUGGGGAGCAAACAGG
rnacentral:rRNA from 1 species